UGUUGAAAUAAUAUGUUGUUGGCUUUUACCAAUUUUGAAGAAAAAAACCUUUUUUGGUUGUGUUAUUAUUUCUUCUCCAAAAACAGUUGUCCACUCAUUUUCACAUUUCAGAUCAAAGGUUUGGUGAACAAGUCAAUUAUAGUUCUCGUUUAAGGAGGGACGAAUACCCAUUAAAUUUUUGCAGAACCAGUUGAUCGCGCUGAGGUUCUAUUGGUCUUAUGAUUUUCUUUGAUUUUUGAAGGCCAGCUACACGCUCAUCUAUAGAUGAAAGAUUAUGUAUUUCUUAGAGCUUUGCUUUAGAAUUGAGUGCAACCUUUAAAUUGGGUGUAAUGAUUUGAUGAAUUUACUAGUCUCCGACCAAAAGAGAAGAUGAAAUUAUCAUUCUACUGAGAUAGUUGGAAAACUUUCAGAUUUUGUAUGGUGAUUGUAAUGACUAAAUAUUGGAUUGUAGAAUGCUACAUUGCUACCAAUUGGAUGUUAAUCUGAUUUUUAU